rnacentral:rRNA from 1 species
UACGAGGGGAGCAAGCGUUGUUCGGAUUUACUGGGCGUAAAGGGCGCGUAGGCGGCCUGUUAAGUCGAACGUGAAAUCCCCGGGCUCAACCCGGGAACUGCGUCCGAUACUGGCAGGCUUGAAUCCGGGAGAGGGAUGCGGAAUUCCAGGUGUAGCGGUGAAAUGCGUAGAUAUCUGGAGGAACACCGGUGGCGAAGGCGGCAUCCUGGACCGGCAUUGACGCUGAGGCGCGAAAGCCAGGGGAGCAAACGGG